AUUGAACGCUGGCGGCAGGCCUAACACAUGCACGUCGGGCGAGAGGCGGACGGGUGAGUAAUGUAUGGGGAUCUGCCUGAUGGCGGGGGAUAACUACUGGAAACGGUAGCUAAUACCGCAUACCAUCAGAUGAACCCAUAUGGGAUUAGCGAGUAGGUGAGGUAACGGCUUACCUCGGCGACGGUCCCUCGAUGGUCUGAGUGGAUGAUCAUCCAAACGGGGACUGAGACACGGCCCAGACUCCUACGGGAGGAAGCAGUGGGGAAUAUUGCACAAUGGGCGCAAGCCUGAUGCAGCCAUGCCGCGUGUAUGAAGAAGGCCUUCGGGUUGUAAAGUACUUGCAGUCGGGAGGCGUUACCGACAGAAGAAGCACCGGCUAACUCCGUGCCAGCAGCCGCGGUAAUAC
rnacentral:rRNA from 1 species